rnacentral:rRNA from 1 species
GACGAACGCUGGCGGCGUGCUUAACACAUGCAAGUCGGGCGGUAAGGCCCUUUCGGGGGUACACGAGCGGCGAACGGGUGAGUAACACGUGGGUGACCUGCCCUCAGCUCUGGGAUAAGCCUGGGAAACCGGGUCUAAUACCGGAUAUGACUCCAUGACGCAUGUUGUGGGGUGGAAAGCCUUGUGCGGCUGAGGAUGGGCCCGCGGCCUAUCAGCUUGUUGGUGGGGUGAUGGCCACCAAGGCGACGACGGGUAGCCGGCCUGAGAGGGCGACCGGCCACACUGGGACUGAGACACGGCCCAGACUCCUACGGGAGGCAGCAGUGGGGAAUCUUGCGCAAUGGGCGAAAGCCUGACGCAGCGACGCCGCGUGAGGGAUGACGGCCUCGG